CAGUCGCCACGGUAAAACGGAGGAUCCAAGCGUUAUCCGGAAUCAUUGGGUUUAAAGGGUCCGUAGGCGGUCUUGUAAGUCAGUGGUGAAAGCCCAUCGCUCAACGGUGGAACGGCCAUUGAUACUGCAGGACUUGAAUUAUUGGGAAGUAACUAGAAUAUGUAGUGUAGCGGUGAAAUGCUUAGAGAUUACAUGGAAUACCAAUUGCGAAUGCAGGUUACUACCAAUUGAUUGACGCUGAUGGACGAAAGCGUGGGUAGCGAACAGGAUUAGAUACCCGGGUAGUCCCUGUCUCUUAUAC
rnacentral:rRNA from 1 species